rnacentral:rRNA from 1 species
GAUGAACGCUGGCGGCGUGCCUAAUACAUGCAAGUCGAGCGAAUGGAUUAAGAGCUUGCUCUUAUGAAGUUAGCGGCGGACGGGCGAGUAACACGUGGGUAACCUGCCCAUAAGACUGGGAUAACUCCGGGAAACCGGGGCUAAUACCGGAUAACAUUUUGAACCGCAUGGUUCGAAAUUGAAAGGCGGCUUCGGCUGUCACUUAUGGAUGGACCCGCGUCGCAUUAGCUAGUUGGUGAGGUAACGGCUCACCAAGGCAACGAUGCUUAGCCGACCUGAGAGGGUGAUCGGCCACACUGGGACUGAGACACGGCCCAGACUCCUACGGGAGGCAGCAGUAGGGAAUCUUCCGCAAUGGACGAAAGUCUGACGGAGCAACGCCGCGUGAGUGAUGAAGGCUUUCGGGUCGUAAAACUCUGUUGUUAGGGAAGAACAAGUGCUAGUUGAAUAAGCUGGCACCUUGACGGUACCUAACCAGAAAGCACGGCUAACUACGUGCCAGCCGCCGCCGUAA